UAUGGCUUUUUAUUCCUAUGUGAUUGCUGCUUUGAACUCAUGUAGGGCUGAAAGCCAUGGG
rnacentral:pre_miRNA from 1 species